GCAUACACUACACGGACAAUAACAUUAAUCAGUUGACAUGAUUAACCUUCUGUGCAUUUGAGUAGUCGGUAUGAUCCCCUCUAGAGUUCAUUUAUACACCGUCUAUAAAAUAUUCAUAAAACACUUGUAAAAUGGUAUAAAACACAUGGUAAAUACUGGUAUGCUGCAGAGGGUUACCUGCCCUUAUGAGGUGACUGGUGAUGCAGAAGUGCCAAAGGAAAGUGCCUGUGUAUUUGCUCAAUAAACAGCAUGGCUUAGAUUAGAAGAACGCUGUGCCGUGUUUGUGUAUGAUGUACACAGAGGAACCAGGGUAAAUGCGACACACCGGAAGUAACGGAGCUGGGAAUGAACACGUGUGAAAUGGAACAUCAGAUAUAUUCACAAUAUUUUCAAAACAGUUUUUUUUCUCCGGAGCUUUUCAUUGACAGAAUACCGAAUUUUCUCAAUAAAAAUCCACCUGAAUCAAAGUAGUUCCAAAACAGACGAUGAAUAAGAAUGACCACCUCAAUGGACAAAGCAUGUAACAGGUCAUGUGUUGCUGUGGUAUUGUAUCUACUUUUUGAGCAACAAAUUGAAGUCCUCUCAUUAACCUGGCCUACUUUCAUAUUUAGGACCUUCUGCCCUUUAAUAAAUCACCAUUGGGCAUCUAUUUUCAGCAGCCUAAUGGUGCCUGAACCAACCUUACAGAUCAGCUACCUCCCGGAAUGAUGCAACACGGAAUGACUAUGAAUAUUGUGCGGUGGUGGCGUGUGCUACAUAAGCAGGGUUGUGUGUGUUGUAACGCAUAAAAACACAAUUGUGUGGUGAUUUAUCCUACAGUGUGCAGUGGUUUUCGUCUCUCCACUGCUAUAGAAUACUAUGGGUGAUGCUGUAGUGACAUGUCCAAUAGGAGCAGUGGUUUGAGUCCCUGGUUUGGGCUUCAGGUCCUACAGGGGGAGCAGUCAAAGACUGAAGGGGUUCUUUGCAUAAUAAAGUUUGAGUUCACAGGAGUCCCCCAAGAGUCACUGCCGGUGAGUGCCGCCAUGCUGCCGGUGAGUACCGCCAUUCUUUCUUGCGCUUCCCUUCAUGCUUAGACCCAUG
ensembl:lncRNA